GACGAACGCUGGCGGCGUGCCUAAUACAUGCAAGUUGAGCGCUGAAGGUUGGUACUUGUACCAACUGGAUGAGCAGCGAACGGGUGAGUAACGCGUGGGGAAUCUGCCUUUGAGCGGGGGACAACAUUUGGAAACGAAUGCUAAUACCGCAUAAAAACUUUAAACACAAGUUUUAAGUUUGAAAGAUGCAAUUGCAUCACUCAAAGAUGAUCCCGCGUUGUAUUAGCUAGUUGGUGAGGUAAAGGCUCACCAAGGCGAUGAUACAUAGCCGACCUGAGAGGGGGAUCGGCCACAUUGGGACUGAGACACGGCCCAAACUCCUACGGGAGGCAGCAGUAGGAAAUCUUCGGCAAUGGACGAAAGUCUGACCGAGCAACGCCGCGUGAGUGAAGAAGGUUUUCGGAUCGUAAAACUCUGUUGGUAGAGAAGAACGUUGGUGAGAGUGGAAAGCUCAUCAAGGGACGGUAACUACCCAGAAAGGGACGGCUAACUACG
rnacentral:rRNA from 1 species